AGAGUUUGAUCCUGGCUCAGAAUGAACGCUGGCGGCGUGCCUAACACAUGCAAGUCGGAUGUGCCCGGUAACGGGUGCAUGGCAGACGGGUGAGUAACGCGUGGGGAACCUACCUCUUCGUGGGGAAUAACGCUCCGAAAGGAGUGGUAAUACCGCAUGAGAUCCACGACUGGGAUGUUGUGGAUGAAAGCUGGGGAUCGAAAGACCUAGCGCGAGGAGAGGGUCCUGCGUCUGAUUAGCUAGUUGGUGGGGUAAUGGCCUACCAAGGCGACGAUCAGUAGCCGGCCUGAGAGGGUGAUCGGCCACACUGGAACUGAGACACGGUCCAGACUCCUACGGGAGGCAGCAGUGGGGAAUUUUGCGCAAUGGGCGAAAGCCUGACGCAGCAACGCCGCGUGGGUGAUGAAGGUCUUCGGAUUGUAAAACCCUGUCGUCGGGGACGAAGGUUGGGAGGUUAAUAGCCUCUUUGCUUGACGGUACCCGGAGAGGAAGCCCCGGCUAACUCUGUGCCAGCAGCCGCGGUAAUACAGAGGGGGCAAGCGUUAUUCGGAAUUAUUGGGCGUAAAGGGCGCGUAGGCGGUGGCAUAAGUGAGAUGUGUAAUCCCCGAGCUCAACUUGGGAACUGCAUCUCAGACUGUGGCGCUAGAGUGCUGGAGAGGGUGGUGGAAUUCCUCGUGUAGCGGUGAAAUGCGUAGAGAUGAGGAGGAACACCAGUGGCGAAGGCGGCCACCUGGACAGUAACUGACGCUGAGGCGCGAAAGUGUGGGUAGCAAACAGGAUUAGAUACCCUGGUAGUCC
rnacentral:rRNA from 1 species